GAGGGUAUAGCUCAGGUGGUUAGAGCGCGAGAUUGUGGCUCUCGAGGCCGUGGGUUCGAGUCCCAUUAUCCUCC
rnacentral:tRNA from 1 species